rnacentral:lncRNA from 1 species
CAUGUGAUAAAGACAUUGGAAUUGAUACCUCAAAUAACAUAGUGCUUUCUUACAGUCAGUGUCCUCCAGAGGAAUUAUCAAGUAGGGAAUGCAAAGACAACUGAAUAUUUGGUUCAUGACAUUAAUAAUUUUAAAAACGUCAUAUAUUGCAAUACUAAUAUUCUGAUAAAAUCAUGCAAUACCGAUAAACGGAUUGUUUGGUAAAUGGUACCUUAAUGAUCUUGUGGAACA